ACUCCACUGAGCUAUGAGGAGAGUGGAAUAUAUAAUAAGGCACCCACACACAUUUUCUUGGACUGUGGGGAAAAAUGGAAAAUAUGUCCCUUGGGCGAGUGCUUAGAGAAUGUGAUGGAAGGGCAGCAGAGAUCAGAGAGCAGUAUCUAAAGUAAAAGGCUGUUGCAGAUUACAUUCCCCUGGAGCAUGCAGGAAACUACGGACUGAGUCAUGACUGAGUCACAAUUCAGUCUGUGGUCAGCUUGUGGGCAGUGUACAUGGGCCUCUUCCCCAGGACUCUUGUUUAUAGUUGCUUGCUGCUGCGAAUGAUAGAGGUAUCAUCACAUGGAGAGUUUCGAGAACGCUAGCAAUCCCACCAGUUGCCUUUAUAAUUUCCC